CCUACGGGGGGCUGCAGUGAGGAAUAUUGGUCAAUGGGCGCGAGCCUGAACCAGCCAAGUAGCGUGAAGGAUGACUGCCCUACGGGUUGUAAACUUCUUUUAUAAAGGAAUAAAGUGAGGCACGUGUGCCUUUUUGUAUGUACUUUAUGAAUAAGGAUCGGCUAACUCCGUGCCAGCAGCCGCGGUAAUACGGAGGAUCCGAGCGUUAUCCGGAUUUAUUGGGUUUAAAGGGUGCGUAGGUGGUUGUUUAAGUCAGUUGUGAAAGUUUGGGGCUGAACCGGAAAAUUGCAAUUGAUACUGGCAGCCUUGAGUACAGUAGAGGUAGGCGGAAUGCGUGGUGUAGCGGUGAAAUGCUUAGAUAUCACGAAGAACUCCGAUUGCGAAGGCAGCUUACUAAACUGCCACUGACAUUGAUGCUCGAAAGUGUGGGUAUCAAACAGGAUUAGAUACCCCUGUAGUC
rnacentral:rRNA from 1 species